GUGGGGAUGUUUUUACUUGGAGAGAUUCUGCUCAAAGCUGAAUUUGUUCUGUUCUUUGUUCCAGCUUUGCUUCUAUCUUGGCGUAUAAAAUUCCUAAAGAGGACGUGCAGUCUCUGUCACAUUCUUUUUCCAAGCUGGAGGAAGUGAAACACGCCUUUAACAUCGAGGAGUACAGCUUUUCCCAAGCAACUCUGGAGCAGGUGUUUGUGGAGCUGGCCAAGGAGCAGGAGGAGGAGGACAGCAGCUUUGGCACCCUGAACAGCAGCCUGUGGUGGGACAGGACGCAGGAGGACCGAGUGAUUUUCUGAGCUCCUGGUGCCCGUGUGGGUGCCAGCACCCAUCCCCUCUGUGCUCCUGGGCACCCCUGGAGCUGGGCUGGAUGAGGGGAGCUGUGUUUGGGUGCCCUGGGUGUGUCCCAUCGUUCUGGGAUUUGGGAUAAUGCCACAGGAGCCGUGA
rnacentral:lncRNA from 1 species